rnacentral:rRNA from 1 species
UACAGAGGUCUCAAGCGUUGUUCGGAAUCACUGGGCGUAAAGGGCGCGUAGGCGGCCUUGCAAGUCGGUUGGUGAAAGCCCGGGGCUCAACCCCGGAGGUGCGGCCGAGACUGCAGGGCUGGAGGCCGGAAGAGGAGGGUGGAAUACCCAGUGUAGAGGUGAAAUUCGUAGAUAUUGGGUGGAACACCGGUGGCGAAAGCGGCUCUCUGGUCCGGACCUGACGCUGAGGCGCGAAAGCGUGGGGAGCAAACAGG